rnacentral:rRNA from 1 species
AUUGAACGCUGGCGGCAUGCCUUACACAUGCAAGUCGAACGGCAGCGGGGACUUCGGUCCGCCGGCGAGUGGCGAACGGGUGAGUAAUGUAUCGGAACGUACCAUUCAGUGGGGGAUAACUAUCCGAAAGGAUAGCUAAUACCGCAUAUUCUGUGAGCAGGAAAGAAGGGGAUCGCAAGACCUUGCGCUGAUUGAGCGGCCGAUAUCAGAUUAGUUAGUUGGUGAGGUAACGGCUCACCAAGGCUACGAUCUGUAGCGGGUCUGAGAGGAUGAUCCGCCACACUGGGACUGAGACACGGCCCAGACUCCUACGGGAGGCAGCAGUGGGGAAUUUUGGACAAUGGGCGCAAGCCUGAUCCAGCCAUGCCGCGUGAGUGAAGAAGGCCUUCGGGUUGUAAAGCUCUUUCGGCCGGGAAGAAAUCGCAUCAGCUAAUACCUGGUGUGGAUGACGGUACCGGAAUAAGAAGCACCGGCUAACUACGUGCCAGCCGCCGCCGUAAGAC